UACAGAGGUCUCAAGCGUUUGUUCGGAUUCAUUGGGCGUAAAGGGUGCGUAGGCGGCGCGGUAAGUCGGGUGUGAAAUCUUGGAGCUUAACUCCGAAACUGCAUUCGAUACUGCCGUGCUUGAGGACUGGAGAGGAGACUGGAAUUUACGGUGUAGCGGUGAAAUGCGUAGAUAUCGUAAGGAAGGCCAGUGGCGAAGGCGGGUCUCUGGACAGUUCCUGACGCUGAGGCACGAAGGUCAGGGGAGCAAACGGG
rnacentral:rRNA from 1 species